rnacentral:ncRNA from 1 species
AAGAAGAUCUAAGCGCCAGGACUUACCCUCAAAAGGGGUAAGUUGACGAGGUGGAGGUUUAUCGAGGUUUUCGGCGGAUGCCUCCAGGUAGUUGCUACCUACCUUAAGGAGACUCACAAAACUGGUGGGUGACUGCCAGGACAAAAGGUCUCCAGUAGCAUUA